rnacentral:misc_RNA from 1 species
UUAUAUGUUGACCCGACUUCUUAAUAAUAUUUGUGCCAAAUUUGAAGUAAAUCCAUGCAGUACCUUUUGAGUUUAUCCCGGACAUACAUACAGACAAACAGACAAAAAUUCUAAAAACUAUAUUUUUGGCUUCGGUAUCGAUUGUAGAUCACACCCCAAGUAUUCUUUAACAAAAAUAUUCAAUGUACAGUUUUCACUUUCCUACCAUUUUAUUAUAUGUAAUAGAU